GGGUAUAGCUCAGUGGUAGAGCGCGUGUGCUUAUUAUGCACAAGGUCCUAGGUACAAUCCCCAGUACCUCCA
rfam:Camelus ferus unplaced genomic scaffold scaffold1453, whole genome shotgun sequence.